rnacentral:hammerhead_ribozyme from 1 species
AUUCAGCUGACAAGUUCCAAAUAAGACGAAACGCACGUCCUAAAU